GACUGUGGAUCUGAAGAGGAAAGGAGAGAGAAGUAUGGGUGAAUCUGUCAGAAGAUCAGUUCCCAAGACGCUAGCCUGUGAAGAUGCUUUGGCUGUGGUGAGGAUUUAUUCUUCAAUCAUUUUCUAGUCAGGGAUUGAGGAGCUGUCUUCAACUUGGAGGAGUUAUCAUGUGUGGACAUUUCACCUUGGAUUCCUGUUUUGGCUCCCAGAGACUCUUGAAAUAAUUGUAAAUAAAUUGGCUUUUCACCAUUUGAAGAAUCAUCUUUAAAUGAUCUUCUACAGUGUGAAUAUUGUUGUACCAUACAAAAACAAUAAAUGUGUUGAAUUCUGAGAAGGCAGGAAUGAUUGACUAAUGAAGAAUGAAAUAAGCAGAACCAGAAGAAUAAUUUGUACCAUAAAUAAAGAAAAACAGUUUUGAAA